AGUGGAGUGGACUCGCUCUGAUCGAGAACUCAUGAUGGUCCAUGUGUAUCCAAACAGAAGUGAGAACCUUAAGAAACAGGACGACCUUUACUGUGGUCGCACAAAGAUGAAUAAAGACCUGCUGAGAACUGGAGACCUCAGUCUGACCCUGAAAUACCCCACAGAGAGAGACAGUGGAGGAUACAUCUGCACCAUCUACAGGGACAAAGACAUCCUGAGACAGAAAGUAGUGCUGCAGGUCAAAGAACCAUUUCCAUCUUGGGCCAUAGCUCUCAUGGUUCUCUUGGUUCUCCUGGUUCUUCUUGUUUUUGGAGGUCUUUUAUUUAAUUUCCGAUACUAUUUUAAGUCAGGUGAGUGUCUCCUACUACACUACCCAUAAUGCCGAUGGUCAGCAGGUGUCCUCUGGUGGCUCCUUGACUGUGGCUCACACAAACUUGUUCCAGAAGCUGAAAGAGUUGAGAGUUACAAACAGCUGAUACAGAGAGCUGAAGAGAAACUUCCAGGUUUGUUCCAGAAGUCAGAAAACCUCCUUCAGACUCAGUCAUUGAUCAGUGAAACAGCUCCACAACAUGACUUUACUAAACAGUGUGUGUGCUUCACUGCAUUGAUCUGACACAGAGGCUGCAUGUGUACAAGCUGUUCUUCUUCUGUGGUGGUAAACAGCAGGCUGACAUGGAAACAUGUGCUGACAGUAAAUGUUGCAGCAGCUUCAGUAAAUGUUCCUCCUUGAGUUGUGCUCAGUCAUGUGGUGGAGAGCUUCAGAUGUUCAGAGCAGACACAUGAGAUCUUCAUGGUCUCUGUGCUGAUGUGUGUGAGACAUGGCCGACUGUGGAGGCUCAGUCUGUCUGUUCUUCUGCUCUUCAUCCAACAUGUCUGCAGCACUUUACAGGACGCUGCAGACUAGUUACCAAAGAACGAGUCAGGAACACAUCAGGAACAAACUGAGACACAAUCUGACUGAGACUAGAAGACAAGGAGGGGACAGGGAGGUCAUGUGACCAUCACAGCUGCUGCUGAUGUCAUCAUGUUGUCCUUUGUUGUCCUCUCAG
ensembl:lncRNA